UACAGAGGUCUCAAGCGUUGUUCGGAUUCAUUGGGCGUAAAGAGCUCGUAGGCGGUUCGUCGCGUCGGCUGUGAAAUCCCGAGGCUCAACCUCGGGUCUGCAGUCGAUACGGGCGGACUGGAGUUCGGCAGGGGAGACUGGAAUUCCUGGUGUAGCGGUGAAAUGCGCAGAUAUCAGGAGGAACACCGGUGGCGAAGGCGGGUCUCUGGGCCAUAACUGACGCUGAGGAGCGAAAGCGUGGGGAGCGAACAGG
rnacentral:rRNA from 1 species